GAGGGAGUGCCAGAGCGGUCAAAUGGGGCAGACUCAAGAUCUGCUGGCUUAGUGCCUUCAGGGGUUCGAAUCCUCUCUCCCUCA
rnacentral:tRNA from 1 species